rnacentral:siRNA from 1 species
UCACUCCUCUACACAAUUUAUC